rnacentral:lncRNA from 1 species
AGGGGAGGGAGGGGCCCAGAGGACUGAAAUCCUGUGUAGUUUUUCUCUGUCUUUCCUAAGAUGACUGUCCUCCUUCCUUCUGAGUCUAGUCCAGAUACAGUGAAAUGAAGGAUCUGUGAAGUAUCCAAAGAGAACUGUCUACACAGCAGAUUCCUGCAGGGAGAGGUGGCCAUGCUGUGGAAGUGUGUUAUUAUUGUUCUUAUGCUACUCUGGUGAACCUGGAUGGACCCAUGGAUUCUUUGGGUAGUCAAGGUUCUUAUGUACAUUCUUAAUUACUGUAAUCAGGUCUUGGCACAAGUUAAACCAGUCAGCAAAGGACAUUAAUGGAGCAUCAGCUAAACGCAGGUCUCUGCCAUAGGUUCUGAGGUGUGGGGGUUAAGGAUACAUAUGGGAUGAUCUUGCAAUGGAAACUGCA